rnacentral:lncRNA from 1 species
AUGAUAAGAAAAUUAUGACCCUUUUUCCUGUUUUGAAUAUAGACAAAAAUGAGUUAAUAGAGAACAAAAUUAUAUAAAGAACACAUUCUAAUAUGCCCUGGAGUUGUAUGUUUUUUCUCUUUACCAUAACGAUGCAAUGCCAACAGUUAUAUCUUCCUACUGAGACAAUAAAUGGGAGGAAAAACAAUGUUGUUUACAAUAUAAUUUUUUGCAUUUGCUCUUGACUUUAAUUGAAAGGGAAAUAGUUGUGGGGGGCAGAGAGGGUUAAGAUACUUGUGGUGAGCGAAAUUAGCAUCUCAUUUUCCUUUCAAAUCUAUUUAUAAUAUGAAUUUACAUAGAUGUUGUGGGCCUUUUAGAAAAAGAGGCUAGAACUUUGACCUGCCCCCCCCCCCAGGUUCUUUUGACCUGGGCCAAACAUCAUAGCCUCCUGAUGAUUUUUAAUCCACUGAAUGAAGAUCAUUCCUUACCAAUUAACCAGAAUCUCUAGGAUGGGUAAGCAUCACCUUUGAAGCAAAAUUUCCCAGGUGAUUCUACUGUGCACCCAGGUUGAGAACAACUAUUCUAGAAUGUACAUAAUUAUUUGCUGACCUGGAGUGUUGACAGUAGAGACCAGACUUCAGAAAAAGCUGUAGGUAAAUGAUUCACUGUGAAGGCAUGAAGGCCCAUUAAGGUGGUGGAUGAUGGCACUUGUGCCAGUCAGCCUUCAGGUCAGCUCUGUAUGUGGGUGGGCUGUACCCACAGACAGAGCAAGAGGGCCUUGCGUAGUAGAAACAUUAUCACACAAAGAGGCCAAUGCCUUUUCCCCAGUGUCUUAGAAAAUUUUUUGUUUUUGUUUUUGAUGUUGGUGACCUAUUGAAUGAAUGUAAAUUAUGGAAAAUGAAAUAAUGAGCCAAACCUAGUUGUUCAAAUGCAUGCAUAUGUGUGUGUGUGGGAGUGUGUGUAGGUGAGGGGCAGGGAAGGAAGGGAGAGAAAGAGGGAGAGGGGGAGAAAUUGUAAGAGUCUCUUGAGAUCCAGUUUUUCUUGGAAUUCAUCCUGGCCAAGUAUAAAAUAGAAGAAAGGGGAAACUCACUGUGGCAGUUCUACAGCUCCAGGGGCUGUGGCAUGUGAUAGAGAAAAUUAAUGAACUGUAGAGUCUCUCUUUGGGACUUAUGGAAGCCAAGUGGGAAAUCUUUUUUCAGCUAGUCUUGAUGGUAACUGAAACAGUUGUAUCAUCAUAAUUCCAUAGGCCAUUCCCCUUUGUAUUCUGGAAUAAUUUAGGGGAGGCAAUGACUUCUUGACUUGGAUAAUUGCUAAGAUUUUUUUUCUUUUUUUUUAAAUCACAUGGAUUCCACUAUACCAUAGGAGGCAGGCAAUGACCUGGCCCAAGUCUGCCUCAGAGAGGGAAACUUCCAUGAAGAUUUUAUGUCUCAGCAAUGUAACUUGCCAGUUCCACAACCUUGGUCUCAUUAUAACUCAUAUGGUAUUAACAAGAGAGGCUAGAGGGAAGAGAGUCUUGUGUGUAUCUUGUCCUAAUAGCAUCUCUGACCGUUGGUCCAUAACUCCAUUCUAGAUUCUUCCCUGCAGCAUGUUAGCUUUUGACUUGAAGACCUUAGGUUACCUACAUUUUACAGGGAGUUGGGUCAGGGAUUCUUACCUGAGACUCCUGAAAAUAGGUAGGUAAGAAGACGUGGAGAUAACAGAGUUCAUCUAAAGCCAUUGGUUGGGACCAAAGAAGGAAGAAAGGAAAGAUAAUUUGCAAAUAUCUAUUCAAGGACAUUCCACUUUGAGAAAAUGUUUCUUUCAUCCUUGGAUCACAAAGCAAGAUUGGAAGAUUUUUCUUGAGCUCUGUUUCAUUCAUUUUAUUUUUCUAUUAGUCUUUUUUUAAAAAUUAAUACCAAACCUCAGCAGCUUCAGACCUCUGCAACCUAAAUGUGUCAAAGAUCUUCAAUAUCACUAUUACUAUAAUGCUGUAGGGAUUAUAGUCUUGCUGUGAGUACUUCCCAUAGGUCACCCCUUUUUAUUUCACAAAAACAAUGAUAAGGUGACAGUAACAGCUUUUGGGGUGGAAUUUUAGCCCUGAGCUGCACCUCAGGGGAAUGACCUGGGGUCUCAUUCAUUCCAUUCUAAUUGGGCUACAGCAGUUCAGCCUGUGAGGGGUAGAAUUUGGGCAGGAGUCUACAGUAAGCUCACUGAGAUGUGGUUCCUAAUAUUGGUUGUGCUACAGCUGUGAGGCCCAUUCCCUUGAUUUAUCCAAUGUCAUGCAAUAAUUAAAUAGGUCUUUGUCAAGUUCUUGCUAAGUUUAAGGUUACAUAGGUGCAGCCUAAGAAUCAACAUUCAAUUUGUAUAGGUAAAUAACACAGACAACCUUAAAUAGUAGAGGAAGAUGGGAUAUAAUAUGUGUCCAGAUGAAAGUUAAGAACAUAAGUGAGUAGGAGGAAAUGCUUGCAAUCAGUAGCAUUGAGAGAUGUCCUGAAGGCUAGGAAAGAUGAGUGGAAAGGUGACAGGUAUGGCAUUUUGGGUGAGGGAAUAGUUGAGUAAUAGUUGUGGAGAUGGGAAAGAGAUCGAUUACUACAAACUGGGUGGUUAAAAGAAACAGAAAUUUAUUCUCUCGCAGUUUUCAAGUUCUCAGUUCUUAAAAUCUAGAUGUUGCAGAGUUGGUUCUUUUUGGAAGCUUUGAGGGAGAAACUAUUUCCUGCCUCUUCCCUAACUUUGGGGGCUGUCAGCAGUCUUUGAUGUUCCUUGGCUUAUAAACACAUCACUCAGUUUUGCCUCUGUGUUUGUUUUUUUUUUUUUUUUUUUCCCCUACUGAGAGUUAGGGGCAAGCACAGAUUUGUUCCUCUGGCUUGUGUUUAUAAAAAUUCGUUGCAAUCUGCUUUAUGUGCAUUUAAACAUAUGAAAGGAAGUCAAAAUAUAUUAUAGAACCUUUAUUCUUACAUAUUAACUAUGUGAAAUUUAAUUUCCUACCCAUCAAAAAUAUUUUCCCUUUUAUUAAUUGUCAAUUAACUUCUCUUGUUCUUCUUGUAAUACAAGAAGAAUUAUCUUCCUACCUGCUAUAAAAUUCUUUGAAACUUUUCAUUAUGCAUUAGGAAAAUAUUAUUCUGGCUCCAGUCCUCCAGAAAGCUUUUCUAAAAAUCAAUUUAUCAUCAAAAAAAGCCCCAGAAAACUUCUGUGCUUCAAAGGACACUAUCAGGAGAGUAAAAGAUAAUCCAAAAAAGGGAGAAAAUAUUUGCAAUCAUAUAUCUGAUAAGAGACUUAUAUCUAGAAUAUAUAAAGAACACUUACUCAAUAAAAAAGAGGCAAAUAAUCCAAUUAAAAAUGGGCAAAGGCAGAGUCCUUGCUGUGGCUCAGCAGGUUAAAAAGCCGACAUGUGUCUAUAAGGAUGUGACCCCUGGCCUUGCUCAGUGGGUUAAGGAUACAGUGUUGCCACAAGCUGAGGUGUAGAUCACAGAUGUGGCUUGGAUCUGGUGUUGCUGUGGCUAUGGCAUAGGCCUGCAGCUGUAGCUCUGAUUUGACCCCACCUGGAAACUUCUAUAUGCCUCAGGUGUGGACGUAAAAAGAAAAAAUGAGUUCAAAUAGACUUUUUGCCAAAGAAGACAUACAAAUGCUCAAUAAGCUCAUGAAACAAUUCCACUCCUAGGUAUAUACCCAAGAGAACUGAAACAUGUGGCCACACAAAACUUGUACACAAAUGUUCAUAGUAGCAUCCUAACAGUCAAAAAGUGGAAACAACCCAAAUGCCUGUCAACUAAUGAAUGGACAAAUGAAAUGUAGUAUUGUUUAUACAAUGGACUAUUAUUGGGUCAUGUUAUGAUCUGUUUCUGUCUCACUUCGUCCUCCCACUCAUAUAUUGAAGUCAUUAUGCCCAAUAUAAUGAUAUAAGGAGCUGGAGCCUUUGGGAGGUAAUUAGGUUUAGAUGACCUCCUAAGAGUGAUACCCCCAUAAUAGGAUGAGUAUCCUAAGAAAAUGAAGAGACGCUGGAGCUUUCUCUUUGCAUUGUGUGAGGAUCCUCUGAGAAGCUAGCUGCCUCAAGCCAGCAAGACAAGCCUUACCAAGAAUCAAAUCUGCCAACACUCUUAUCUUAGACUUCACAGGCUUCAGAACGAUGAGAAACAAAUGUUGUUUAAGCCACUUAGUCUAUGGUAUUUUGUUAGAUCUGCCUGAAAUGACUAAGACAGGUCAUGAAGAAGAAUGAAGUGUUGAUACAUGCUGCACAUGGAUAAACCUUGAAAACAUCAUGUUCAAUGAAAGAAGCCAGACACAAAGGUCAGAAGAGAAAGAGAGAGAGAGAGAGAGAGAGACAGAGACAGAGACAGAGACAGAGACGGAGAGAGACAGAGAUGGGGCAGGGGGAGAAACAAGUCCAAUAAACCCCAAAUCAGCGAUCAGCUCAUAGAGAUUACCUGGCAUUGUCAGUCAUCUCUGCCACAGGAAAGAUUGUAAGAGUUGUCAAACAGGUACCUAUUUGCUUCUCCAAUACCACUCUGUAUGUGCAUUUCACGGGCUGGGUCAGUGGCAUCUGCUUAGACAUAUGAACCAGGAAGAAAUUUCAAUAAACAGAGGCUGAAACUGAUGUUGUAAUACCUGAAUGUUGUGAGCAUUGCUUAAAAAACAAAACAAUAAAAAAAAA